GAUGAACGCUAGCGGGAGGCUUAACACAUGCAAGUCGUGGGGCAGCAUGGUGUAGCAAUACACUGAUGGCGACCGGCGCACGGGUGAGUAACGCGUAUGCAACCUACCCAGUACAGGGGGAUAGCCCGGAGAAAGUCGGAUUAAUACCCCAUACUGAUAUAGAGAGGCAUGUUUUUAUAUUUAAAGCUACGGCGGUACUGGAUUGGCAUGCGUAAGAUUAGCUAGUUGGUAGGGUAACGGCCUACCAAGGCUCCGAUCUUUAGGGGUCCUGAGAGGGUGAUCCCCCACACUGGUACUGAGACACGGACCAGACUCCUACGGGAGGCAGCAGUGAGGAAUAUUGGUCAAUGGGCGCAAGCCUGAACCAGACAUCCCGCGUGAAGGAAGAAGGCGCUAUGCGUUGUAAACUUCUUUUCCGGAGGAAUAAAAUUUUGUACGAGUACAGGACUGAAGGUACUCCGGGAAUAAGCAUCGGCUAACUCCGUGCCAGCAGCCGCAGUAAGAC
rnacentral:rRNA from 1 species